rnacentral:lncRNA from 1 species
UAGACAGCCUUGUUUAGUUUGAAUAGACAGCCUUGUUUAGUUUGAAUAGACAGCCUUGUUUAGUUUUCAUCCACAAUCUAUAUCUUCACUCAGCAAUAUGCAGUCUCCUUAGCUGACUGACUGACAGUCUGUUUCUGCUAUGUCACGCUUCGUCACUCAUUGCCCUGCCUUGUUUGGCUUGACAAGGACAAAGUAGUCAAGGGCACCAACAGAUUUGGGACCAGGCUACAGUUUCCUCACUUUAUAAAACACGAAGAAGAGUGCAGCUCAACUCCACAACAAAUCACCAACCGAAAACAACCUCAAGACGUGUACCAUAAGAAACACUUUACUUUGACUGCAGUACAAUCCAUAGUGCUUGAGCAUCUAGAUCAGGGAUCUCCAGCCCUGUUCCUGGAGUACAUACCUUCCUGUAGGUUUACACUCCAACCCUGUUCCUGGAGGUUUUAACUCCAACCCUGUUCCUGGAGAGAUACCCCUCCUGGAGGUUUUAACUCCAACCCUGUUCCUGGAGAGAUACCCCUCCUGUAGGUUUUAACUCCAACCCUGUUCCUGGAGAGAUACCCUCCUGUAGGUUUUAACUCCAACCCUGUUCCUGGAGAGAUACCCUCCUGUAGGUUUUAACUCCAGCCCUGUUCCUGGAGGUUUUAACUCCAACCCUGUUCCUGGAGAGAUACCCUCCUGUAGGUUAAAUAGACUCAGACAGAUACAUCAAUAUUCACACUGACAGGUUAAAUAGACUCAGACAGAUACAUCAAUAUUCACACUGACAGGUUAAAUAGACUCAGAUAACACACUUGACUAGGGUGAAUGAUAAGAAUGUCCUCUUUCUCUCUCCCCCUCCCACGCAAGCGCGCACACACACACACACACCAAUCAUCGUCCUCAUUCAUCGCUGUUGCUGGACAGAUCCUCACAUAUUAUCCUGACAUUGAGAGCUCUCAUGGAGUGGAUCUGUGCAACAGGUGCUCAGGACGGUUUGGGGGGGGGGGGGUCGACAUCACUUCCUCCCUCCCAUCCCAGCAAUGCACUCUGGGAUCUGUAGUAGCAUACAUAUACACAUUACGAAUGCUUUUUUUUUCUUCUUCUUCCUCCUUACAAUUUUCAAAUGUAUUUUUGUAUAAUUUAUUAAGGGACAUUGUACGCCCUAACUGGUG